AGACACUGCCAACGUGAGAACUCAGAGAAGACGUGGACUGAGAGCUGGGGGCCUCGACUCGGUGAAGAUGUGCUUCUCCCUGCAUCGGUCUGCAGGUUUAACACAAUUUCCUCAGGAUCCCGGCAGGAUCUUGUAAACAUCGACAAGCUGAGUCUAAGAUUCAUGACGAAAGGCAAAGAACAUGGGGUAGCAGCAUGGCUUUGAGGAUGAAGGUGCCUGCCGGAGGAAGGAGUCACAGCACGUGAUGUGCAGACUUGCCGUUGUAUUUCUGCGGUCUCGACCAUGUGGUGUUGGCAGAGGGGGCCCAUUGAUCUAGGAGCAGACCCCCGUCCACAUGGGCACCCACGAGGCGUGGGAACAGUUGGACACUCGUAGGUGUAGAGGUGACCUUUGACCUAAAAGUCACACUUUAUAUACAAGCAGAUUCAAAAUGGAUCACAGAGCAAAAUUUGUCCAAAACUAAACUAAAAUUUGUAGAAGAAAACCUCUGUGACCUAGGGUUAGACCAGAGAUUUCUUAGACAUGGAACCAAAGGCACAGUCCAUGAGAUGAAAACUGGUACGUCCGACUUCAUCAAAUUGGAAUGUUGUGGCUUCUGCUUCAGGAUUGGUGGUGUGCAGGGCUCCACGCCCCAUGCCCCACACCCCACGCCCAGGGACGUAACCCUGGCCACGAAGGCUUCUGGAGGUUGUCCUGGGGGCACACAGCAAAAAGGACACUUAUCCAGGGGCAUCUUGUGAGUCUGGCAUUUGAGCCGAGCCCCACUCCUUCCCCGUGUCUGUCCAGCUCAGCCUCGGGAAGCUCCUCUCCAGGUGCCGUGGCCCUGUCGUCCUGGCCAUUUGCCCCUACGGUGGACGUGCACACAAUGGAGGCCAGCCGAGAAGACCGAGCAGCUCGGCAAGCAGGGCUGAAGGCCUGCAUGCCGUUCCCACCCUGCUCCAGGGCAGCCCGUGGGAAGGAGGCUGGCAGUGCAGGAGGGCGGCCAGUGAAGCCACUCACUGGGAUGGUGACCGCCCCCAGGAGCCUCCUCAAAGGCUGUGGCUCACGUGGCUCCUCCUACAAGGACACCAGUCCCAUCAGAGCAGGGCCCCACCCUCAAGACCUGUCACCUGCUCACUCCAAUACAGCCACGCUGAUGGUCAGGGCCUCACAGAGUGGGCCUGUCAGGCUCUUCGUCCCCUAUAAGAGGCGCAAAAAGGAGAGCGAGCUGCCCACCACGCCUGUUAAGAAGGACGCCCCCAAGAACAUCACCCUGCUUCCCGCCGCUGCCGCCACCACCUUCACCGUGACCCCCUCAGGACAGAUCACUACCUCGGGCGCACUGACCUUCGACCGGGCGUCCACCGUGGAGGCCACUGCGGUCAUUUCGGAGAGUCCGGCCCAGGGCGAUGUCUUUGCUGGAGCCACAGUACAAGAAGCAGGCGUGCAGCCCCCGUGCAGGGUUGGACACCCAGAGCCCCAUUACCCAGGGUAUCAGGACAGCUGUCAGAUCGCACCAUUUCCAGAGGCUGCAUUGCCGACGUCUCAUCCCAAAAUAGUGUUGACAUCCCUGCCGGCCCUGGCGGUGCCGCCCUCCACCCCCACCAAACCCGUGUCCCCCUCGGUGGUCAGCGGGCUAGAGAUGUCGGACCAGCGGAGCUGGCUGUACCUGGAGGAGAUGGUCAACUCCUUGCUGAGCACCGCACAGCAGCUGAAGACGCUGUUUGAACAGGCCAAGCAGGCCAGCUCCUACCGGGAAGCCGCCGCCGCCCAGGCCAGAGCCCACGCGGAUGUGGAGCGGAAAGAGAUGGACGCCUGUGUCCUCUUGCAGCAGUCCUGCGUCAACUGCGGCCGAGAGGCCCUGAGCGAGUGCACCGGCUGCCACAAGGUCAACUACUGCUCCACCUUCUGCCAGCGCAAGGUAGGCCCCGCCCCGCCCCAAGCACCGCCCCCAAUCACCGCACCGCCCGAGGCCCCGCCCCGCCUCCCUGCUCUCCCCUUCCCGGGCUCUGGAGAAGCUGCGAGGAAGCCACGUGGGCUGUGGCCAUGGCCGUGGCCGUGACAUCAGCUGCUCCCCUGUGGCCUUGACGGCGUCGCGAGCAGCGCUUCCCAGCCCUGGGCGCCUCGUCGCAGGUCCUGGAAGGUAGCCGACUGCGCGAUUCCCGUGUGUGCGGCUCUUGGCCUUUGGUUCUGAGCAGGACUGGAAGGACCACCAGCACAUGUGUGGUCAGUCAGCAGCUGUCACCGUGCAGGGGGACGACGUCCACGUCGCUGAGAGUGUGAUCGAGAAGGUCACCGUGUGAGGGCUCGCGGGGCCUCUGUGGCUGGAAAGGACCCUUGAGGAUGGGGGCUCCGAGGACAAGGAGGAACUUGCUGGCCAAGUUAUGAGCGGACGUCGGGUGCCCGGUGCCCUUGGCAGGGCGCUCCUGCCGCCCAGCACUGGGGGGUGCAGGCCCCUCCUUGGCGGCCGGUGGACACAGCCAGGGCCGCGACGCCUGCUCACGGUGCUUUUUUUAUCCCUUGGAUCAAGAGCAUCCGGUUUUCCCUACAGGUCUGUCGUGUUCUGUAACGUGUGUACAUACAUGUCUGUCAAUAAAGUUGAUGCCCCUGCCCCACCCGGA